rnacentral:rRNA from 1 species
GAUGAACGCUAGCGGCAGGCUUAACACAUGCAAGUCGAGGGGCAGCGCGUCGUAGCAAUACGAUGGCGGCGACCGGCGGAAGGGUGCGUAACGCGUGAGCAACUUGCCCGUCACAGGGGGAUAACCGGUGGAAACGCCGACUAACACCCCGUAACACAUUUCGCUGCAUGGCGAGAUGUUGAAAACUCCGGUGGUGACGGAUAGGCUCGCGUGCCAUUAGCUAGUCGGCGGGGCAACGGCCCACCGAGGCGACGAUGGCUAGGGGUUCUGAGAGGAAGGCCCCCCAACUGGGACUGAGACACGGGCCCCAGGACUCCCUACGGGGGG